AACUUUUAGCAACGGAUCUCUUGGCUCUCGCAUCGAUGAAGAACGCAGCGAAAUGCGAUAAGUAAUGUGAAUUGCAGAAUUUAGUGAAUCAUCGAAUUUUUUAACGCCCCUUGCGCUCCCUGGUAUUCCGGGGAGCACGCCUGUUCUAGUGUCGUGCAAAUCUUAAACCCGAAGGGUUUUUCUUGUUUCUGGGCUUUGUGUUUGGCUUUGCCGGCCCUUUGGUUGGGAUGGCUGGCUUCAAAGUCAUUAGCUGGCUUUUAAUGUGGCAUUGGUUCUACUCAGCGUGAUAAUGAUCUGUCCGCUGAGGACAUCUUUCGUGAUGGCCAAUUCUCAUUUGGGCUGCUUCUAAUUUUGGUUGAGCAGAUUCUGAAUCUGCUACACUUUUCAGCUUUUGACCUCGAAUCAGGUGGGACUACCCGCUGAACUUAAGCAUAUCAAUAAGCGGAGGCU
rnacentral:misc_RNA from 1 species